AUCCGCCUACGGGGGGCAGCAGUGAGGAAUAUUGGUCAAUGGCCGGAAGGCUGAACCAGCCAAGUCGCGUGAGGGACGACUGCCCUAUGGGUUGUAAACCUCUUUUAUAAGGGAAGAAUAAAUGCUACGUGUAGCAUGAUGCCUGUACCUUAUGAAUAAGCAUCGGCUAACUCCGUGCCAGCAGCCGCGGUAAUACGGAGGAUGCGAGCGUUAUCCGGAUUUAUUGGGUUUAAAGGGUGCGUAGGCGGUUUUUUAAGUUAUUGGUUAAACGUCUGGGCUUCACCUUGAUUUUCCAUUAAUAUUGU
rnacentral:rRNA from 1 species